rnacentral:rRNA from 2 species
GUCGUAACAAGGUCUCCGUUGGUGAACCAGCGGAGGGAUCAUUACAGAGUUAUCCAACUCCCAAACCCAUGUGAACUUAUCUCUUUGUUGCCUCGGCGCAAGCUACCCGGGACCUCGCGCCCCGGGCGGCCCGCCGGCGGACAAACCAAAACUCUUGUUAUCUUAGUUGAUUAUCUGAGUGUCUUAUUUAAUAAGUCAAAACUUUCAACAACGGAUCUCUUGGUUCUGGCAUCGAUGAAGAACGCAGCGAAAUGCGAUAAGUAAUGUGAAUUGCAGAAUUCAGUGAAUCAUCGAAUCUUUGAACGCACAUUGCGCCCAUUAGUAUUCUAGUGGGCAUGCCUGUUCGAGCGUCAUUUCAACCCCUAAGCACAGCUUAUUGUUGGGAACCUACGGCUUCGUAGUUCCUCAAAGACAUUGGCGGAGUGGCAGUGGUCCUCUGAGCGUAGUAAUCUUUUAUCUCGCUUCUGUUAGGUGCUGCCCCCCCGGCCGUAAAACCCCCAA